rnacentral:siRNA from 1 species
UCUACUAGCUACUAUAUAAUACU